GGAAGGAUCAUUACCGAAUUGUCAACAAGGGUUGUUGCUGGUCCCCGUAUGGUGGCAUGUGCACGCCCUGUUUACACAUCCACUCACACCUGUGCACCCUCUGUAGUUCCUAUGGCCUGGGGGGCUUUGUCCUCCUGCUGUGGUUCUACGUAUUUACACACACACCGCAAUGAAGUCUCAUGGAAUGUAUGUCGCGUUUAACGCAAUGAAAUACAACUUUCAGCAACGGAUCUCUUGGCUCUCGCAUCGAUGAAGAACGCAGCGAAAUGCGAUAAGUAAUGUGAAUUGCAGAAUUCAGUGAAUCAUCGAAUCUUUGAACGCACCUUGCGCCCUUUGGCUAUUCCAAAGGGCAUGCCUGUUUGAGUAUCAUGAACAUCUCAACUCUCAUGGCUUGCCAUGAUGAGCUUGGACUUUGGGGGUCUUGCUGGCCUGUGAGCCAGCUCCUCUCAAAUAAAUUAGCUUGCCAGUGUUUGGUGGCAUCACAGGUGUGAUAACUAUCUACGCUUGUGGUUUCCCACCAGAUAACUUCCAGCAAUGGAGGUUCGCUGGGGCUCAUAAAUGUCUCUCCUCGGCGAGGACAGAUUUCGACCGUUUGAUCUCAAAUCAGGUAGGACUACCCGCUGAACUUAAGCAUAUCAAUAAGCGGAGGAAAAGAAACUAACAAGGAUUCCCCUAGUAACUGCGAGUGAAGCGGGAAGAGCUCAAAUUUAAAAUCUGG
rnacentral:sRNA from 1 species